rnacentral:rRNA from 1 species
UUCCGGUUGAUCCUGCCGGACCCGACUGCUAUCAGAGUGGGAUUAAGCCAUGCGAGUCAACGUAGCAAUACGUGGCGCACGGCUCAGUAACACGUAGUCAACAUGCCCAAAGGACGUGGAUAACCUCGGGAAACUGAGUCUAAACCGCGAUGAGUCAAGAUUCCUGGAAUGGUUCUUGACUGAAAUCUAUAUGGCCUUUGGAUUGGACUGCGGCCGAUCAGGCUGUUGGUGAGGUAAUGGCCCACCAAACCUGUAACCGGUACGGGCUCUGAGAGGAGGAGCCCGGAGAUGGGCACUGAGACAAGGGCCCAGGCCCUAUGGGGCGCAGCAGGCGCGAAACCUCUGCAAUAGGCGAAAGCCUGACAGGGUUACUCUGAGUGAUUUUCGUUAAGAAAGUCUUUUGGCACCUCUAAAAAUGGUGCAGAAUAAGGGGUGGGCAAGUCUGGUGUCAGCCGCCGCGGUAAUACCAGCACCCCGAGUGGUCGGGACGAUUAUUGGGCCUAAAGCAUCCGUAGCCGGUUCUGCAAGUCUCCCGUUAAAUCCAACUGCUCAACAGGUGGGCUGCGGAAGAUACUACAGAGCUAGGAGGCAGGAGAGGCAAGCGGUACUCAGUGGGUAGGGGUAAAAUCCGUUGAUCCAUUGAAGACCACCAGUGGCGAAGGCGGCUUGCCAGAAUGCGCUCGACGGUGAGGGAUGAAAGCUGGGGGAGCAAACCGGAUUAGAUACCCGGGUAGUCCCAGCCGUAAACGAUGCAGACUCGGUGAUGGGUUGGCCUUCGCGCUAACCCAGUGCCGCAGGGAAGCCGUUAAGUCUGCCGCCUGGGUAGUACGGUCGCAAGACUGAAACUUAAAGGAAUUGGCGGGGGGAGCACCACAAGGGGUGAAGCCUGCSGUUCAAUUGGAUUCAACGCCGG